UAGUAAUCUUGCUUAGUACGAGAGGAACAGCAGGUUCAGACAUUUGGUUCAUGGACUUGACCGAUCGGUCAAUGGUCCGAAGCUGCCAUCUGGGGGAUUAUGACUUUCUUUGUGGUAAGGUGCGCUACUGAUA
rnacentral:ncRNA from 1 species